GCUCAUUUCUAGAAAUCCAAAAGGUUUAAAAAUGUCUUUUGUUGUUGUUGUUGUUGUGGUAAACCAUCUUUACUCCAUGAUCUCUGAAUAAUUCACAUCACUUUGAUCAGGUUUUCAUCUGAUGGGAUUCGGUGAGCUUGCAGGAUACCAUGUGGCGUAAUGCAGCAUUCCUGCUCUUCUGGGGGAACAGUUUCAAGACAAGCAAUGACACCUGAUUCAAAGCCCACAUCUAUGAACACGCCCUCAAUGUAUCUGACCACUCAAGAAAAUCUGAAAACGAACACAAACGCCUCCUUAAACCCAUUUUCUCCAGCAUCUCCUCUCACUGCCACAAGCAAUGACCCUAAACCUGUCACCACUCCAUUAGCCGAGGAACACAAAGGCUCAACUGUGGGCAUAUCAAUUCAAACAGCGCUAAAGAGGUCUGAUUCAGAAGGCACUACAAUCACAGACACUUGGUCAAACAGCAUAUCUUCAACACCAGCAGGUCUAACAAACCCACCAUUAUCAAGCAACACCAGCAGAGACGGAAACGCAGAUGAUUCUGCAAACUCAGUGAAAAGCACCAUUGUUUUUGUCUUCAACAUUCCCAAAGUACCUGUGUUUAAAACAAUCACCUUCAAUCACCCACUGGUUAAUCAAGUCACAGUCAUGAACACAGUUUUAAGACCAUGAAACGGUCACAUAAAAUGACUUAAAAGCAAAGUGUGUGAUUCAGAGAGCAUAUAUUUGGCUCCUUGUGUACGUGACAAUUGUGAAAGAGUCAAUAAGAGAAACUUCCAGCUAAAUGCAUCUUAAUGGAGAGAGAUUGGGAAUAUAAGGAAUGUAGAAGCCGAAAUGUUUUUGUGGUUACUUAACAGACAGGAAGGCAAUGUCAAUUAUUUCAACGUCAAGCAGAUCAUACUGUAUGACUACAUGCUUUAAAACAAGCCAACAAACAAAAAAAAAGAUUGAAACCAAAACAAAUGAGAUGGAAGAACAGGUGUAAUGUUUUAUGAAGACUAACUUUCAUUUCAACAAUCCAGGUAGGGGCAAACAAUUGACGCGUGAGUCUGUAGCAUAGCUUCUUAAUCAUUUAUUUUCGCAAAACAACAAUCCAUAAGAUCAACAGUUGAACCAUAUCUUCACCGCUAAACAUUAGCACACACAGCCACAUGAACACACGGUCUGAAAAUCGCAUCCGCUUCCCCCUACUCACCCCACCUACUUCCUUACCUACACUAAAUACACAAUUGCAAUAAUGUAAUAAGAGUCUCAAUUGAAAAUUUCAUAACAUUCAAUCCAAAUACUCAAACACAAAUAAUAAUGAUCAAACAUAAACUUAAUUAUAUUCAAAUUAGUAAAUCAGUCCAUUCAGUCCAAAAUAUGAAAAUAGAAAAAGAAAUGGCUCCAACAGGUUUUAUAUGUUAGUUUGUAUUCUAUUCGCUGUAGUGUUACAGGUUUAAAUUAUGCAAUGUUUACACUCAACGAAAAUCAUACAUGCAUAUAAACAAUAACAUGCAAAACCUUUUGCUCUUUGUACUUUUUCAGCUCUUUUGUCGCUUACAUACUCAUUGUGUACUUUCAUUUUGAAAUUGUGUUUUAUGAAUAUUGUUGGCUCCUACGACAAAUUGCUAUAAAAUCAUCUGCUGAAUAUUUCUUAAGACUGCAUGUUUAGGGAGGAAUGUAUUGUUGCAUAUGUAUAUCUAGUUUGGUUAAAAAUUGAAUGCAUUAACAAUGCAACACCACUUGAGUGACAGCUAUGCGUUGUGUCGUGACUCCAAACAGAGCUAAUAAAAACAUGCACUUUCAGGACAGCAUGAGUUUACAUGCUUUUAUCAAGGGACUUGCAACUUCACCUUUGUGUAAGAAAUUGCACUUGGGUAUAAAAUGGAUUGGGUGAUUUUGACUUGUUUAAGUAUUACUAUAGCCAUACUUUCUGAUUUAUACUCAUAACCAUUUAUAUUAGUUUAUUUGGCCCCACUUUAUACUAAGUGGCCUUAACUACUAUGUACUUACAUCAAAAAAUAAGUACAAUGUACUUACUGUGUUCAUAUUGUAUUGCAAAACACUUUUGCUGCUAUUGAGGUGGGAUACGGGUAGGUUAGGGACAGGUUUGGUGGUAUGGGUAGGUUUAAGGGUGGGUUAAGGUGUAAAGGAUGGGUCAACUGUGUAAUUAUAAAUGUAAUUACAGAAAUUAAUUACAGAUGUAAUUACAUGCAGGUAUUUUUAAAAUAUAAGUGCAAUGUAAAAACAUGUAUGUACACAAUAAGUGCAUUGUACCAAAUUAUUAAUUUAAAUGUAAG
ensembl:lncRNA serine-rich adhesin for platelets-like